rnacentral:rRNA from 1 species
AACGAACGCUGGCGGCAUGCCUAACACAUGCAAGUCGAACGAGACCUUCGGGUCUAGUGGCGCACGGGUGCGUAACGCGUGGGAACCUGCCCUUAGGUUCGGAAUAACUCCCCGAAAGGGGUGCUAAUACCGGAUAAUGUCUUCGGACCAAAGAUUUAUCGCCUUUGGGUGGGCCCGCGUUGGAUUAGCUAGUUGGGAGGGUAAAAGCCUACCAAGGCAGCGAUCCAUAGCUGGUCUGAGAGGAUGCUCCGCCACACUGGGAAUGAGACCCGGCCCAGACUCAGAGGGAGCAGUGGGGGGGAUUAUAGUACAGAAGGGGGGAGGACGUAGCAACGCAGGGCGCGGGAAGAAGGAAAGCCGGUGGGAUAAAAAAUCCUCUUGCCCCGAAGUGAAAGUGACGGUACCGGGAAAAGAAGCCCCGGCUAACCCCGUG